AAGGAUCAUUAAUGAAUUCACUAUGGAGUUGUUGCUGGCCUCUAGGGGCAUGUGCACGCUUCACUAGUCUUUCAACCACCUGUGAACUUUUGAUAGAUCUGUGAAGUCGUCUCUCAAGUCGUUAGACUUGGUUUGCUGGGAUGUAAACGUCUCGGUGUGACUACGCAGUCUAUUUACUUAUAACACCCCAAAUGUAUGUCUACGAAUGUCAUUUAAAGGGCCUUGUGCCUAUAAACCAUAAUACAACUUUCAACAACGGAUCUCUUGGCUCUCGCUUCGAUGAAGAACGCAGCGAAAUGCGAUAAGUAAUGUGAAUUGCAGAAUUCAGUGAAUCAUCGAAUCUUUGAACGCACCUUGCGCCCCUUGGUAUUCCGAGGGGCAUGCCUGUUUGAGUGUCAUUAAAUUCUCAAACUCACUCUGGUUUUUUCCAAUUGUGAUGUUUGGAUUGUUGGGGGCUGCUGGCCUUGACAGGUCGGCUCCUCUUAAAUGCAUUAGCAGGACUUCUCAUUGCCUCUGCGCAUGAUGUGAUAAUUAUCACUCAUCAAUAGCACGCAUGAAUAGAGUCUGGCUCUCUAACCGUCCGCAAGGACAAUUUGACAAUUUGACCUCAAAUCAGGUAGGACUACCCGCUGAACUUAA
rnacentral:rRNA from 1 species